NAACCAACAGGGAUUGCCUCAGUAACGGCGAGUGAAGCGGCAAAAGCUCAAAUUUGAAAUCUGACGUCUUCGGCGUCCGAGUUGUAAUUUGAAGAUGUUUUCUCCGAGCAGUCCUUUAUCUAUGUUCCUUGGAACAGGACGUCAUAGAGGGUGAGAAUCCCGUAUGAUUUGGGCUCCUGCUCUUUUGUGAGUUUUCAUCGAAGAGUCGAGUUGUUUGGGAAUGCAGCUCUAAGUGGGUGGUAAAUUCCAUCUAAAGCUAAAUAUUGGCGAGAGACCGAUAGCGAACAAGUACAGUGAUGGAAAGAUGAAAAGAACUCUGAAGAGAGAGUGAAAAAGUACGUGAAAUUGCUGAAAGGGAAGGGCUUGAGGUCAGACUUGGUGUUUUACGAUUAUCUUCCCCUUGUGGGUUGUGCACUCGUUUCUCACUGGGCCAACAUCAGUUUUUCUUGCGGAGCACGCUUAGGAAUGUGGCUCUCUUCGGAGAGUGUUAUAGCCUUUGUACGAUUCGCUUGGGAGACUGAGGACUGCGCUUUAUGCUAGGAUGUUGGCGUAAUGACCUUAAGCCGC
rnacentral:rRNA from 1 species